rnacentral:tRNA from 1 species
UGGGGCGUGGCCUGGUGGUGAGGGCACUAUCAAAGGAGGUUCGAAUCCUUUUGUCCCAA